rnacentral:rRNA from 1 species
UACGAAGGGGGCUGGCGUUGCUCGGAAUCACUGGGCGUAAAGCGCACGUAGGCGGCUUCUUAAGUCAGGGGUGAAAGCCUGGAGCUCAACUCCAGAACUGCCUUUGAUACUGAGAAGCUUGAGUCCGGGAGAGGUGAGUGGAACUGCGAGUGUAGAGGUGAAAUUCGUAGAUAUUCGCAAGAACACCAGUGGCGAAGGCGGCUCACUGGCCCGGUACUGACGCUGAGGUGCGAAAGCGUGGGGAGCAAACAGG